UGAGGUGGCUAUUGCGCAGGGGCCCCACCCGUUCCCAUCCCGAACACGGUCGUUAAGCCCUGCAGCGCCGAUGGUACUGCUUACGCGGUAGAGUAGGUCGCCGCCUCUC
rnacentral:rRNA from 1 species